AGAAUCAGUAGGCAAUAUACAGCAACAAUUUGAUUGAAGCAUUUCUCAACAAGAUCAUAUCCUUGCAAAAACAAGAGAUGGCCACUGCUAAGGGAACUAGUAGUUCUGUGCCACCCCAGGGUGGAUCCUCUGCAAAAUCCAAAAGGCAGGCGGACAUUAAUCAAGAAGGGUUAAACCUUCUAGGACUUGAAGGUUUUAGUACACCUCCUCCUCGGAACAAUGGUCAGGGUGCUCACAGCCUCGCAUACCAAAUCAAAACACUAGCGCCCAAAGCCAGUCAAAUGGACUUCCUAUUCCAGGUAAUGACUUGACCGGAUUGGCCAUAUAGUUAAGGUAUAUGACAGAAGAAGAUGCAGUGAGUGUCAACAAUGGUUCAUCGUUCAAGCCUGUGUGUUGCUACAAUAUCAUGUACAUAUGUACAUAAGUAGUACAUAUAGUAAAGAAUAAUGUAAAUAUUAGCUGUCAAGGUCAACGCAUGCAUGGGAAGGAAACAAUUGUAGAAGUACAUGUAAUUUGUUUAUUUAAUUUGUUCAAAUUUGUUUGUAUAUAUAAGAUGUGAAGCUGUAUAUAUUGAUACCAGCUUUGACAAUAAUGUACAGCACAAUAAUGUUGAAUAACUCAAAGUGAAUCAUUUUAUGUUUCCAAAUA